UUUUUACAAUGAAGAGUUUGAUCCUGGCUCAGGAUGAACGCUAGCUACAGGCUUAACACAUGCAAGUCGAGGGGCAGCAUGGUCUUAGCUUGCUAAGGCCGAUGGCGACCGGCGCACGGGUGAGUAACACGUAUCCAACCUGCCGUCUACUCUUGGACAGCCUUCUGAAAGGAAGAUUAAUACAAGAUGGCAUCAUGAGUCCGCAUGUUCACAUGAUUAAAGGUAUUCCGGUAGACGAUGGGGAUGCGUUCCAUUAGAUAGUAGGCGGGGUAACGGCCCACCUAGUCUUCGAUGGAUAGGGGUUCUGAGAGGAAGGUCCCCCACAUUGGAACUGAGACACGGUCCAAACUCCUACGGGAGGCAGCAGUGAGGAAUAUUGGUCAAUGGGCGAGAGCCUGAACCAGCCAAGUAGCGUGAAGGAUGACUGCCCUAUGGGUUGUAAACUUCUUUUAUAAAGGAAUAAAGUCGGGUAUGGAUACCCGUUUGCAUGUACUUUAUGAAUAAGGAUCGGCUAACUCCGUGCCAGCAGCCGCGGUAAUACGGAGGAUCCGAGCGUUAUCCGGAUUUAUUGGGUUUAAAGGGAGCGUAGAUGGAUGUUUAAGUCAGUUGUGAAAGUUUGCGGCUCAACCGUAAAAUUGCAGUUGAUACUGGAUAUCUUGAGUGCAGUUGAGGCAGGCGGAAUUCGUGGUGUAGCGGUGAAAUGCUUAGAUAUCACGAAGAACUCCGAUUGCGAAGGCAGCCUGCUAAGCUGCAACUGACAUUGAGGCUCGAAAGUGUGGGUAUCAAACAGGAUUAGAUACCCUGGUAGUCCACACGGUAAACGAUGAAUACUCGCUGUUUGCGAUAUACUGCAAGCGGCCAAGCGAAAGCGUUAAGUAUUCCACCUGGGGAGUACGCCGGCAACGGUGAAACUCAAAGGAAUUGACGGGGGCCCGCACAAGCGGAGGAACAUGUGGUUUAAUUCGAUGAUACGCGAGGAACCUUACCCGGGCUUAAAUUGCAGAUGAAUUACGGUGAAAGCCGUAAGCCGCAAGGCAUCUGUGAAGGUGCUGCAUGGUUGUCGUCAGCUCGUGCCGUGAGGUGUCGGCUUAAGUGCCAUAACGAGCGCAACCCUUGUUGUCAGUUACUAACAGGUUCCGCUGAGGACUCUGACAAGACUGCCAUCGUAAGAUGUGAGGAAGGUGGGGAUGACGUCAAAUCAGCACGGCCCUUACGUCCGGGGCUACACACGUGUUACAAUGGGGGGUACAGAGGGCCGCUACCACGCGAGUGGAUGCCAAUCCCCAAAACCUCUCUCAGUUCGGACUGGAGUCUGCAACCCGACUCCACGAAGCUGGAUUCGCUAGUAAUCGCGCAUCAGCCACGGCGCGGUGAAUACGUUCCCGGGCCUUGUACACACCGCCCGUCAAGCCAUGGGAGCCGGGGGUACCUGAAGUGCGUAACCGCGAGGAGCGCCCUAGGGUAAAACUGGUGACUGGGGCUAAGUCGUAACAAGGUAGCCGUACCGGAAGGUGCGGCUGGAACAC
rnacentral:rRNA from 2 species